UGUCACUCAGCGUAGCAGUAGUACGCAUCACCAAGAAGGAGCCAGUUUCCUUGCAGUCUCGUGAAUGUAGCCCACCCCGUAAAAACCAAGAAGUUGUCCGGCGCGUACUGACGACAGCGCCGUGUACGCUCGUACGUCUAUGCCACGCAGGGGUGUGGCUCGUGGCCGUGUUCAAGACCAUUCAAGAAAAAAGCGAAGCCCGCCCGUCUAGACUGGGCUGUUCUACAAUGCCGCCGCCUGUGCAGUGCUACGCAUCGGAAAGAAGAGUCCCCGAACGGAGAUACUCUGGCGCAAGCGCAGCUCACGGGUGGUCAGCGUCGGCGACGACCAAGGUGUCACCACCUGACCUGUGCCGCGAGAAGUCUGAAAAAGUGGCACGUUUGGGAAAAUUGUUUUGGAGAAACAUUGAAGGUGGGUGUACUUGUAGC
rnacentral:lncRNA from 1 species